GGCGUGAUGACGUCUGCCUGCAAUCCCAGUGCUUGGGAGGCAAAAGCGAGGGGACUUCAAGAUCAUGAGUUCCAGGACAGCCUGGAUGACAAAAAGAGACCCACUGGACACCCCCAGCAAAUAUCCUGGAACACUAAGGAAUUCAUCCAAAAGGUGAAGCCUCAUACCCAAAGAUACCAUGACAUUUCUUAGCACAUCAAUGGUUGCAUCCAGUGUCGACCAGGUGAAUUGCUUCACGGCCAGUUCAUCCAAUUGCCCUAGCACCUAGUGCCAGGAGAUAGAGAGUAAGAGACAGCUAAGCUGUGAAUUCCAAAGCCAGGGAACCCCGCCUCCGGCCUCCAAAGGCCAGCAUGAUCAGACUCCUCUGUAUUAAAACUGAACUGUGAACUUUCAUUUAGUCUAGACAGCUGGAAGAGAGAUGUUCCCUACUUGGUGACCUUUUUACAGAUGAAAAAGCUAUGGCUCAGAGAAGGUAACUGAUUUGUCCAAGACACACAGCAGGUGAAAUAAACCAAGGGGUCUUUC